GGACUACUGGGGUUUCUAAUCCUGUUCGCUCCCCACGCUUUCGCGCCUCAGCGUCAGUAUUAAGCCAGGUGGCUGCCUUCGCCAUCGACGUUCCUUCCGAUCUCUACGCAUUUCACCGCUACACCGGAAAUUCCGCCACCCUCUCUUAUACUCCAGUCAGCCCGUUUGCGAUGCACUUCCCAGGUUAAGCCCGGGGCUUUCACAUCACACUCGACUAACCGCCUACGCGCCCUUUACGCCCAGUAACUCCGAUUAACGCUCGCACCCUCUGUAUUACCGCGGCUGCUGGCAC
rnacentral:rRNA from 1 species